GCCGAUAUAGCUCAGUGGUAGAGCACGUCAUUGGUAAUGACGGGGUCGUAAGUCCAAUUCUUACUAUCGGCACCA
rnacentral:tRNA from 1 species